UAAAAAACAUAGCAACUCUUUAUUCUGAAAUAACAGAACAAGAUCUGAACAUACAUACAAACUGACACGUUAUACGAAAAACAUUUAUUCUGAAAACAAGUAUGGAUCACAAUAAACAAUUAUGAUAUGGAUGUGAUUAUGUUAAUACAAUAUGUGAUAUUUAAAUUCUUAUCAACCCAGCAAAUCCCUUGCUGAUUUUGUAUCAAAUGGAAAUAAAAAAAAAAAACCACAGGGACCCCUGUAAUAAGUCAUAUCCUCUUGUCAGAGGUACCAAACUGUAAUACAGGGUUAACUUUGGAGAAAUACAAACAUAUCAUUAAAAACCAUAGCCUUGAAAGAAUCCCAAAAUGAUUCCCACAGGCUACAAUUGUCCUGUUAUACAUAUUCAGGAUACCCUUUCCUAUCUCUGUACACAAGUAUUAGACAAGCUUCCCCUUGCCCAACACCAGACAUUUUUUCUGUCAUUGAAUGUUUGGUGGUAGGGUAAGGGUGAGCUUUGCCUAAUACAUAUAUAUUUAGGUGUGGAAGAUUAAAACAUGGACAUGCUACUGACCCAUUUAUUUAAACUUCAGUUUUGUUGGCACCCAGACUCGGUAGAGUUCACUGCGUAUUAGAUACAAAUACAGGUAUAUACAUGUGACAGGAGACAAUAUCUACAUUAUGUGGUCUCCAAUUAAGUUUUAGAGACAUCAGAUUAUUCAAAAUAGUUUCUGAAAUUUAAAUAAUAUACAACUACUAAACACAUCAAAUCAUAUUGAUUGUAAAUGUAAAUGCAACCUGGAUCACAGCUUAACCUUUUUUAUCUGUCACUCAGAUUGCAUUCAUAUCGACAAUAAAUACAAUACAGCAAUAUCACUUGGAAAGGAAAAAAAUCAUGUACUACAGGAUAUCCUUGGUUCUAGUUGUGGGUACAAACAAAUCUGCACAUUUAAUUUUGCAAAGUGGGUCGCCUUCUUAGAACAUGUAUAUAAUAUGAAUAGCUUUCUUCUUUUACAUCAGGUACAUCUAUACUUAGUAUACAAUUCCAAUUUCUUAUAUACACAUCUAAAUUCACAACAUUCAGUUACAAUAUUGUCUGGUCAGCAUAUCUACUGACCAGUGUCCACCACAGCAGACAACCAGUUAUCUGGUCAAUUUAGAUAAAUGAUGGGACUAAACAACAUGAUUGACAGGUCGUAAUUGUUUUAGUCCGAUCAUUAUACCUAACAUUUCCAAAACAAAAUAGCUGAUAUCAAGAAAUCUGUGUCCUUGAUUAUCUUUAAUAAAUCUAUUAAUUUAUCACUACACCUUGUCAAAUUCACACCAAGAUAGAAAUUAUUCUAUUUAUUUA